rnacentral:rRNA from 1 species
AGUGAACGCUGGCGGUAGGCCUAACACAUGCGAGUCGAACGGCAGCACAGGAGAGCUUGCUCUCUGGGUGGCGAGUGGCGGACGGGUGAGGAAUACAUCGGAAUCUACUUUUUCGUGGGGGAUAACGUAGGGAAACUUACGCUAAUACCGCAUACGACCUACGGGUGAAAGCAGGGGAUCUUCGGACCUUGCGCGAUUGAAUGAGCCGAUGUCGGAUUAGCUUGUUGGCGGGGUAAAGGCCCACCAAGGCGACGAUCCGUAGCUGGUCUGAGAGGAUGAUCAGCCACACUGGAACUGAGACACGGUCCAGACUGCUACGGGAGGCAGCAGUGGGGAAUAUUGGACAAUGGGCGCAAGCCUGAUCCAGCCAUACCGCGUGGGUGAAGAAGGCCUUCGGGUUGUAAAGCCCUUUUGUUGGGAAAGAAAUCCAGCUGGUUAAUACCCGGUUGGGAUGACGGUACCCAAAGAAUAAGCACCGGCUAACUUCGUGCCAGCCGCCGCGGUAA